rnacentral:tRNA from 1 species
GGAGAGGACGGGACUGGUGUUCCGGCUGGUCUUCAAAACCAGUAGCGGUCGGAUAACACCGACCGUGGCAGGUUCGAUUCCUGCCCUCUCUG